rnacentral:lncRNA from 1 species
CUUUUAGUUUCCGUCUAUCAAAUCUACUCACAAGACUUCGGUCACCCAAAUGCUAUAGUAGAAGCCACUUGCUUAAGUGUUGCGCAGUGGAAUUGAAACUGUAUCCAUGUGAUUGGGAAACAAACUUCUUACCACGCAUUCAUGCCAGCUCUUUUUUUUUUUUGCUCCUUUUACUUGUUUCAGUCAUUAGACUACGGCCAUACUAGGGCACUGCCUUGAAAUAUUUUAGUCGAAUGAAUUCCGCCCCCACCCCACUACUUAUUUUUUAAGCCUCACACUCAAUCUAUCGGUAUCUUUUGCCGAACCGCUAAGUUACAGGAACAGAAACAUGCCAACACUAGUUGUGAAGCGAUGGUGGGAGAAAAACACACACGCACACACGACGGGCUUCUUUCAGUUUCCAUCUACCAAACCAUUUGUCGGCCCGAGUCUAUAGUAGAAGUCAUUCGCCCAAGGUGCCACGCAGUGGGAUUGAACCCGGAGCUAUGUGGUUGGGAAACAAAUUUUUACCACACAGCCCCGCCUGCGCUUAUUUGUUAAAUUUAUUUUACUCGUUUUUACUUCUUCUUUUUUUAAAAUUUAUUUAUGUGUUUAUAUAUAGUUUCUUUCUGUUUGUUUUGCAGUUUGAAGAGUCCAUCCCGUCAAAAGUGAAAUGGCAAGCUGUAUGUACCCGUGGUUAUCAGCUGGUAGUUACCCAGGUUUGAUGAAUGCUUCAUGCCGGCGAAUGAGCAUCGUGCAUCCGAUGGCCAGCGGCGGCGGCGGCGGUGGCGGUUGCAGCGGCGGUAGCAGCGGUGGCGUCAGCAGCAGCAGCAGCAGCAGCAGCGGUAGCAAUAACAAUAGCAACAACAACCGCAGCGACAGCAAUGACAACAACAAUCGCAACAGGAUCGGCAGUAACUAUGGUGGUGGUCGUCGUCGUGGUGGUGAUGGUGGUGGUGGUGGUGGUGGUGGUGGCGGCGGCGGCGGCGGCGGCGGCGGCGGCGGUGGUGUGAGAAGUGAAGGCGGAGGUGGUGGUGGUGGUGGUGUUGUUCGUAGUCCGAGUAUUAGUAACAGUAGUCACAGUAGAAGCAUCAGUGGCAGAAUUAGUAGUAGUAGUAGUAGUAGUAGUAGUAGUAGUAGUAGUAGUAGUAGUAGUAACGUGAAUAGCGUCAACGAUGGCAACAAUAACAACAACCACAACUAUAGCUGCUAUGGGGAUAUCUUUGUCAUAGCGGACAGCGGUAACAACAAUAACAACAACAACAACAACAGAAGUAGCCAUAACAACAACAACAGCAGCAGCAGCAGCAGCAACGGCAGGAGCAUGCAAAUUGCCACCGGUAAAGAGGAAGACGAACAAAAAGAUAGCAAAGAUGUAGAGGUAUUAGAAAUAGAAGAGGAGAGGUCAAUGGGGAAGGGACAGGCCCAUCCUCAUUUAUAUGUCCAUCCCUCCUACCUGCUCCACCACAAUCGCUUGCAUUCUCUGCUCCACCACCCCACUACGGCUUUGAUAGUUGGUCAGGAACGGCAUGAGAGUAGCGUCGCCGCCGCCUUGCAACGGCGCGUCAACCUCGAAGAGAACAGCGACGCUUUUAGAAUGCCGUGCAAUGACGGUAGUAGAAAGCGGGCGCUGGCGUCGUCCGCAGCAGCGACGGCGAACUCGACGUCGGACGUCGGCGUCAACGUCGACGUCGUAGUAGACGGCGUUGCUGACAGCAGCGUCCAGGGCGCCGGCGAAGGAAACGAAGACGACGUCCCGGACGGAGGACGUGGUCGUAAGCGCUUAUUGACGAACGCUGCUAACUUCUCAAUGUCGUUAUCACCAUCAUCAUCAUCAUUACCACCACCACCAUCAUUGUCGUCGUCAUCAUCAUCAUCAUCAACACCAACAACAGCAACACUAACCGAAGCAGCUCAAACGGACCCAGACACCGAUACCGUUGCUGCUGCUGCUACUGUUGUUGCUAGUACUGCUGCUGCUGCUGUUUUUGUUGCAGCAAAUGCUGCUGCUGCUGCUGCUGCUAAACCAAGAUCCACAACUGUCUCACCUGCACUGUUAGUGACGCCGUGUGCACCGACCGGCUGCAGUGUUGCUGCAAGUAUUGGCGUUGGUGUUGGUGCUGUUGGUGGU